rnacentral:tRNA from 1 species
AAACAUUAGGUUGUGGACCUACAAAUAAGAAUCUAAUCCUCUUUGUCUACC